GAGACGCUGCGCGGCGGCGGUGGCGGGCGCGAGCGGCAGCUGUCAGGCCACCGAGGUCCGAGCUGCUCUAGCUGCCUCACCGAGGACGAGGAGGCAGCGGGAGCGGUGACCGUGUCACUGAGGAGCCGGACUGCAGGCACGCAGAGCUGACCUGCCUGGUACCCGCGGCCCCCUCCCAUCUCUCUCCCAUUGUAUUGGGUAAGGUGCGGGAAACAAAUGGGAGUUGGAGACAGUGAAGGAGAGCAGAGGGUUACCUUGAACCCUAAAAAGAAAGAAUAAAACAACAACAAGGAAAAGAAAGGACUAAAAUUGUGGCAACGACCCAACUGGGUAGCAACUGGUGGGCAUGACAGACAGUACUUACCAAUCAAAUCGCUCUUCGAGACUACACUGCAUGUGGCCUCUGGAUCAUGUUUUCACCGUGGUACCCCAAGCAGCUGCAACCCAGUGAUCAGAGAGAUAGGUUCCACUGAUUGGGAAACAAGCUCAAAAGAUUAAGGUGGGGAGGUGCCUUUUAUUUUAUGUCACUUUUUAAUGCAUGAAGAACACUGAGACUGGAAAUUGGAUCUUGACUUUCCAAUUUACUUCUUCAUUGUAAUUUAAAACAAAUGUUAAACCAUCACAAAAUAUAACAGAGUAUACAUAUUCCUUUUAUCUUCUUGGCUGAUAUACUGUCCAGAUCUUAGGAAAACAUGAAAAUAUGGGUGAAACAAAUCAGGAAACAAAGGAUAAUUUUGUUAAAUAACUGUUCUCUUGCUUCUCACAUACUGGACUUUAAAGAUACUUGCAUUACCAUCAAAUGGCUUGAAUAGCCAUAAUGGUGACUUUUAAAUUAUGGGCAUAUGUCUCUCUGCAGCACAUAAUUUCAUUACAUUGGUUCCAUCUGUCACAGACUUAGACUUCUUCUCCCAUUCCUCUACUUUUGCCUAUCGGGACUCUGGGCAAUUGAAAUCACAGGAGGGAAAAGCAGAUUUUUUUUUUUGCCACAUAUAUUUUUCCCAUCUCUGAGGAUAAAUAUUUAAUAAAUUAUCAGACCAUGCUUCAAAUACAGAACCUGGAAUCCUUUUGAUCAGGCUAUAAUGAUACAGCUUUUAGGCUAUAAUAGAUCAGAGAUUUAUAAGCCUCUUAAAAAGGAUUUGCUUAUCCUAAACUGAUAUUUUCAAAGCAGAAAACUAGCUUUCUGUCUUUGCUGUUUUUCUGCUUGAUUCAUAAUCCACUGGGAAAUCUCCUUCUCUGGAUAUCUUAAAUAGUAUAGCUUUUCAUUUUUUUGGAAAUAGUUUGGCUAUGAUCCUUCCAGGAAGUGGAAGGUGUGGAAUAGAUGAGUUUCUUUUCAAUUUUAUAAUUGAAUUUAAAAACACACUGGAAAAUCAAGGCAGUGAUUUGAGUAAGGUCAAGAUGGGAGCUGGGAUGGGCAUCUCUACUUUCAUUUAAUUACCUGCAGUAAUUCUAAUUGCAGUAAAUUUUUUUUGCCUCAGUAAUCCCGAUAGGCAUUUCACUUUUUUUCUCUCCCUGUUACAGAGAUAUAGAAUUCAUUACAGUGGAGUGCUUUUCUUACACUUCAUUUAAGGUCAGAUAAACUCUGAUAUAUCUUUUGAUGAAAUGUUAAUUUAUUUUU